ACCUGGAAUAAAUUUAGCCUGCCCAAGGAAAAAGAGUACAACAUGGUAACCUUGGAUGAAGGAGCAAGCCUGUGUCUUGCUGACUGCAGCCUCUUGUGAAGCAAAUCCAUGGGAUCCAAAAUCAUUCAGGACUCCCAGAAGGGUAAACUGGAAGCUGAAUUGGAAGGACGAGACUCCCAAACUUAGAUUUGCUCUAGGGAAAUGGGAAGCCCAGAGGGAGAGAAACACCCAACCUGAGCCAAGAAACCAGGUAUUGGAAAAAUUAAAGGGGAAAGGACAGCAGCACCAUUUGCAGAGCCAACCUCAGAUGAAACAAGGACAAUUCCCAUUCCUUUGUGAACAAUCAAACUGGCUUUGGAUACUGGAAUUUUACUCUAGACUUUAAUUUGAAUAUUGGACACUCCUAAAGAUCAUUAAUCCCCACUGUUUGGUUCAGGUCUCUGCUGUGAAAUACAGAUUAAUUAUUUCUUGUGUGGAGUCUUUAUUCAGGCACUGAACAAUGAAGGAUCGUUUGUAGCUUUUUGCUUUUUUCAGUGUAUUUUCCAUGUCUUGUUCUGUAUCUUUUUGUUAUAAAGAUUCCAUCCUCACAUGUCA